UACAGAGGAGCCAAGCGUUGUCCGGAUUGACUGGGCGUAAAGGGCGCGUAGGCGGCCCGCUAAGUCGAACGUGAAAUCCCCGAGCUCAACUCGGGAACUGCGUCCGAUACUGGCGGGCUUGAAUCCGGGAGAGGGAUGCGGAAUUCCAGGUGUAGCGGUGAAAUGCGUAGAUAUCAGGAGGAACACCGGUGGCGAAGGCGGGUCUCUGGGCCGUAACUGACGCUGAGGAGCGAAAGCGUGGGGAGCGAACAGG
rnacentral:rRNA from 1 species